GACGAACGCUGGCGGCGUGCUUAACACAUGCAAGUCGAACGGAAAGGCCCUGCUUUUGUGGGGUGCUCGAGUGGCGAACGGGUGAGUAACACGUGAGUAACCUGCCCUUGACUUUGGGAUAACUUCAGGAAACUGGGGCUAAUACCGGAUACGAGCUCCUGCUGCAUGGUGGGGGUUGGAAAGUUUCGGCGGUUGGGGAUGGACUCGCGGCUUAUCAGCUUGUUGGUGGGGUAGUGGCUUACCAAGGCUUUGACGGGUAGCCGGCCUGAGAGGGUGACCGGCCACAUUGGGACUGAGAUACGGCCCAGACUCCUACGGGAGGCAGCAGUGGGGAAUAUUGCACAAUGGGCGGAAGCCUGAUGCAGCAACGCCGCGUGCGGGAUGACGGCCUUCGGGUUGUAAACCGCUUUCGCCUGUGACGAAGCGUGAGUGACGGUAAUGGGUAAAGAAGCACCGGCUAACUACGUG
rnacentral:rRNA from 1 species